rnacentral:tRNA from 5 species
UUGCGCGCGGGCCGGCGGCGGGCGGGCCUGGCCGGGGCCUGGCCGGCCUCGCCGUCCGGCUCGGGGCGGCGCCGGGCGUCCGGCAGCGCCUCACGCCAC